CAACCCUCAAGUUUUGGCUUGGUGUUGGGUGAGGUCCCUUUUCUGGGGACCCUCCCGUAACCCAUAGGCGGUCAUCAUCCGUACUCCCCCAGCAAAGCAGGCUCACGCACUCGCUCGGGGAUGGGGUGAGACCAUGCCUUUAUAACCUUUUUCAAAG
rnacentral:misc_RNA from 1 species